rnacentral:rRNA from 1 species
CUUGGUCAUUUAGAGGAAGUAAAAGUCGUAACAAGGUUUCCGUAGGUGAACCUGCGGAAGGAUCAUUAUCAAAAGUCAAGUCGGGGGCUGUAAAGCUCUCGUCUACACCCAUGUCUUUUGCGUACUCUUGUUUCCUCGGUGGCGCAAGCUGCCGAUUGGACAAACCAAAACCUUUUUUGUAAUUGCAAUUAGCGUCUGAAAAUAAUCUAAUUAUUUACAACUUUCAACAACGGAUCUCUUGGUUCUGGCAUCGAUGAAGAACGCAGCGAAAUGCGAUAAGUAGUGUGAAUUGCAGAAUUCAGUGAAUCAUCGAAUCUUUGAACGCACAUUGCGCCCCUUGGUAUUCCAUGGGGCAUGCCUGUUCGAGCGUCAUUUGUACCCUCAAGCUUUGCUUGGUGUUGGGCGUCUUGUCGUAUUACGACUCGCCUUAAAUUCGUUGGCAGCCGGCACUUUGGCCUAGGAGCGCAGCACAUUUUGCGAUCGUAGCCCGUUGUACUGGCGUCCAUCAAGAACAUUUACCACGUUUGACCUCGGAUCAGGUAGGGAUACCCGCUGAACUUAAGCAUAUCAAUAAGCGGAGGA